rnacentral:lncRNA from 1 species
ACUGCACCGAGACUCACCUGGUCAUUACUUGAAGGUCAUUACUUAAAGUCAUAGCACUCUCUACCAUCAGAAUGGAGCCUGCCUGAAUGUGAGCUCAGUGAGAGGCAGAUUCCAUUCUUGGGCCCGUCCACGGUGACUUGUCUGCUCUGCUCCAUCAUCCACUUAUUCACAAGUUCUGGGGCAACAAAGGGCACGUUUUGUUUCAUCUUGUGCCAAACCCUCGAUGUGUACUCACUCACUCUACCUCAUCUCAAGAACUUCAGGGCUGGGAGUGCAUUUGGAGAGAAGGCAUGUGCAAUAUCUGGAAGCCUUAGCACAGGUGGGUUAUACUGAUGCUCUAUAGCCAAACUAUAGGAACUUGGGUUCUAAGGCCAGCAGGCCCAGGUGUCACCCCAAUGGCUCCCUUCAACAGCAGCAUAAAUAAGUCAUGUCAGAAGAACUCACAUUAGCCAUCUCCAGGACUCAUUUCCCUCUCAACAGCAGGAGCUCCUGCAGUCAGAACAGCGGUAAUUUUCAAAUCAGGCAUGUGGUGAUGCAGCAGGAAAGUGCCUGCAUCCCAGGUGUCCCAGCAGCUUUCUGGAGACCUCUAAUACCCACAUCUGCACCACAAAACUGCACAGCAUUGAGUGAUACCAAUCUUCUUAUACAUAUAGGUAAGUGGUAAUAGAAUGCCUCAACAGCAGACCACCCAGGAACCAAAGACAUACUGGAUUUUCAAGUCAGAAGAAUGCUUAGAGAUCAUCUGACCCAAUAGCCAUAUUUUACAGUAAGAUGCAGAAGCCAGUGUCCACAGUGCUAAAGCCACUGGUCCAAGGUGAAAGAAUUUCAAACCCAUAAAUACCUCCAAGAAGCUUCCACUGGGACCCUAUGAUUUUAGUAAAAUUAUCAACAUUCAUGACCUAUGUCUACUGAUCUUAGCGUCUUCUCAGUAGGCAAUUAUUCUUUCUCACAUCAAUUUGCAGUUGCUAUAUUAUCAGCAUCCUUGGUAAAUCCAUCUUGUGUUCUGGGUGAAGACUAACAGAUUCUUCCUUCUUGGACUCUGUCAUUCACUCUCAUCCCUCAUAACAUCUGGCCACUGCUCUAAACACAGUGGCCUUUGAGAAAUGCUGCUGAAUUCUGACUAAGAAAGAGGAGAACUUUCAAAUACAAGAAAGUGAACAUUAUAGAGCUUACCACUCAAGAUGGUUUUCUACAAAUGCGGACAUGGGGCUGAUCUGCACCGUGUAAGUAUCAUUUGCCGAGUACUCAAAGAGUCCAUAGUAAGGGUUGAAGAGCUCCUGAGACAGAAGGAAGAAGAACUCCCGCGAGGGGCCACUGUAGUCCAGGCUGCAAAGAAAGCAGAGGUCCAGGAAGCUCAUUCUGUGCCCGGAGGUGGGGGGACCUGUUUGCACCCAGAUUCUAGUGUGCCCUUUCAGAGUUGGGUGCUGGGGAAAGCAGAGAGCAGCCUCUGCUCUUUGGAGUGAAUGCCAAUGGCAGCAUCAAUUUGCUGUAGAAAAUGAGGAUGCAGUAAUUGGUUUGGAGAUGUUUCUUAACCAGAUGUCCAUGAAUAAACUCUUAUGGCAGCUUU